rnacentral:rRNA from 1 species
GACGUAGGGCGCGAGCGUUGUCCGGAUUUAUUGGGCGUAAAGAGCUCGUAGGCGGCUUGUUGCGUCGGCUGUGAAAACCCGCAGCUCAACUGUGGGCUUGCAGCUGAUACGGGCAGGCUAGAAUUCGGUAGGGGAGACUGGAAUUCCCGGUGUAGCGGUGAAAUGCGCAGAUAUCGGGAGGAACACCGGUGGCGAAGGCGGUUCUCUGGGCCUUACCUGACGCUGAGGAGCGAAAGCGUGGGGAGCGAACAGG